AUACGGAGGGGGCUAGCGUUGUUCGGAAUUACUGGGCGUAAAGCGCACGUAGGCGGAUUAAAAAGUUAGAGGGGAAAUCCCAGGGCUUAACCCUGGAACUGCCUUUAAAACUAGUAGUCUAGAGUUCGAGAGAGGUGAGUGGAAUUCCAAGUGUAGAGGUGAAAUUCGUAGAUAUUUGGAGGAACACCAGUGGCGAAGGCGGCUCACUGGCUCGAUACUGACGCUGAGGUGCGAAAGCGUGGGGAGCAAACAGGAUUAGAUACCCCGGUAGUCC
rnacentral:rRNA from 1 species